ensembl:lncRNA
CAGAAGAGUUGGCACAGUGCCAUCCAUUCAGGGGCAACGCCACAGUUUCGUGCGAUAGCAGCAGCGGGUAUAUGUUACGGGGGCCCUGUAUGCGGGCCAGACAGUGCGGUAAAGCCAAGGGAGAUUAUCCAGACCCCCAGGAGCGAACAGCAAGCAGCAACCGAAGGCGCAAGUGCCAGGAUUACAGCCUAGGCUGCUCCAACUAUGAGCCCUUCCUCGGACCCAGGGACUCGGCUACUUGGGGUUUGGGGGUCUUCCACACCAAAGAGGCACAAAGCUGACUUUAAUCACUUUUUCCUUUAAACUUGAUUCUGCCGCAGUGGAGCCUGCAAAGCGGAUGCUUUCACACCCAGCAAGACAAAGGCCGUCGUCUCCGCCAUGACACUGUUCCGUUCCAAGCAGAGGCCGGGAUCCUGGACUCCUGGAAAAAUCAAAAAGAAACAAGGAAAACAAACAACAAAUACAGCAACAAACAGAAAAAAUUAACAACCACCAAAAUCGUGCGCCCGUUUGCCCGUGCCAGGGGUGAUCUGGGCAUCUGUUGCAGCAGAAGGCGCUUGUGUGGGGCUAUUUUUUUUUUUUUUUGGGCAAGCUAUUGGCUUGUUUGCUAUUCAACUUCGUUUAUAAUUAACUUAAAAAAACACCAUUCAGCCUAGUCAACAACAAACAAAGAGAAAAAGCAGACAUCGGAAGAGAAAUGCCACAGGAAGCGGCAUGAAUGCAUGCCACAGCCGGUGCCACUUGCCAUUCGGAAAACCUCAGGGAAUGAUGCCAAUUCUACAGCUGGGAAGAAGGCAGAGAAGGGAGCAUAGAGGUCUACAAAUAGAAAUCAUAAGGAAAGAAUACUGCUUGUAUAAUCCUGGAUUGCAAUUGCACACAGCUUCUGCUGGGAGAAGAGAGGGAAUAUUUAAAUGGAGAUAUAGAUGGGUAUAAAUUAAAAGAUAGGCACCUAUCGAUUGCAUAUAGACACAUGUGUAAGCUUGUAUGUGUAUAUAAAUACACAUAUUUUCAGACAAAUUAAACGUUUAGAUAUGUAUAUAUUUUUGUGUUAUAGGUAUGGGUAUGUGCAUAGGUGUAUAUGCUUAUGCAUAUAUACACAUAUGUGGGAUGUAUGCAUGUGUGAGGAAAAAGGAGAGGAAGACAUGAGGAGAGAGAAGGAAAUGUGUGUAUGUGCAUGUAUAUGUGUGCAUACAUCCCACUUUUUGACCCAGGUAUACAGAGAAGACAAAAUAAAAAUCAUACUCCAACAGCAAGCAGGCAGUCAGAGAUUUAUCUACAUUCACUGCUAUCACCAGGGAGAUGAAUGGGGCCGAUCUGAAGCCCUUUUACAAGAUCCACUAUGGGAGUGAAGGAGGAGGAGGGAUGCCACACAGACAUGCACAAACUUGAAGGCAGAGAGAUUUCGAAGGUGCUACUUAGGAAGCCCUGGUGGCAUAAUGCAGGGGAGAAGGGGAAGGAGGCUUGUCUCUCUCUAUGUUUUAGGUGGUUGUUUAUAAAAAAAUCUGAAAGGGUUUCAGGAAACGGCUGGUACUUACGUUGUCUGCGUUGCUGUGGAUCCUGAAAGGUGUUCUGUUGGCACCGGGCGCUGAGCCAAGGGCAGGCGCUGGAAACAAAAGGGAGAGACAAAAAAAAAAUAAAGUCAUUCAAUGGGAAUAUUAAUUGCUGCUCUUGUGGAUUUUACAAAACACAUAAACUGUUUUCUUUUUCUUUCUUUCUUUUUUUAAAAAAUGUGGAUUGGCGCGUGUCCCUUUCGCAUGGAAUAUACAAGUAGUAUGGGAUUUACAGCCCAGUACGGGACUCAGGAUUAACCGCGCUGGCAUCUUUUGGGCAUAUUCUUCCUUUUAAUGAAUGAGCUUUCGCUGUUAAUGAGGAAUAAUCGUUUGGCUAAUGAGCUUUGAAACAUUAAGAGAAAAGAGGUUUUUUUCCGUUAAUCGCUCUGGUGUGACUGCAUGGAUGGAUUACAAAAGACAGCAAUAGGAACGCAGUACAAAGGGGGGGAACUCUCCUGGAGUGGGAGAAGCACCGAGAUGGGUGAUGUGACCCUGCGUCUUUCCUUCCUUCUCUCCCUCUUUCACUCUCUCUGCCAAACGCUAUGGGUUUCCAUAACUCCGCAAUCAAAGUGGAUGGUCGGGAAGGAUUAUUACAAAGAGUGAAGCCUCCGCUGUUAAUGUCUCCAGUGUUUAAUCAUCAUACAGUAGAAUGGUUUUAUGCAUAUUUCAUUUGCAUAUCAUUAAACCGUGUUAGCGAGGGGCAUUCAGAGCCAGGAGAAGUACAAAGUUGGGGAGAGAGGGAAGAAAAAAAGGUCCCUAUGAUGCUUAUCUUCAAACAGGGACUUGUUCCAUGAUGUGUCUUCUACUUUUGCUAAAAUCAUUAUGACCUGGAAACCUUUGAAGUUGGAUACAACCUUGGAUUCUUCUAAUUCCUGCAGAGCGGUAUAUUUUUAAAACAGCAGAAAUGUUCCUGCACUAGACAAUUAAAGGAAUAUAAACUCCAGUGGGUUGAAACUAGUAGCUCUUUGGGGAAUGCAGUGGCAGAGCCUUCUACAAAUACCACCACUUAAAAAAAAUAAAUAAAGAGCAUCAUAUUAAAACAAAAGAAAAUGAAGACAAGAAAUAUUAACAUGUGGAUUAUAUUUGUUUCUUUUGGGGGGUUAAUGAACUAAAGAGAAUGAAGAAGCCAUCGGUAAUUUAUCCCUUCAUUAAUGAACAGUCACCUUUUUGUACGUGUUUGUUUUUGUCCUUUCUUUUUGAAGAGGGAUGUUGUCAAUUUUGAAGCAAUUAGUCAAUUAUUUUGUAGCUCUGAUCUUUUCCUCUGCACUCGACAGGAAAAAGAGGUGGUGGUUAGGGAAUAUGUGUGUAUUGGGGGGAUUUGUGGGAAGAGAAGGAAUACAGUGAGUUCUUUGUAGAUCUAAUACAUGCACAACAUAUUAAUUGAGAGCUUUUAAAGCUCCCUCAAUAGGCUAUUUCAUUCCUGGUAAAACAGCAGCUGGUUAGCCACUGUUGGUGACUCUUCAAAUAUCACUUUAAGUAUUUUUAUUCUGUCGCUGUUGUUGUCUUGUUUUGUUUUUCCUCAGUCAAGAAGAAGAAUAUAAUGUCACGCUUUCUUUAUCGAGUCUCUUCUCUCCUCCAUCUUCUUCUUCACUUCCAAUUUCCAAACUGUAAAAUAAUGUUGGUUUAAUAUCAAAUCCUGGUGCACAAUCUAACUGGCACAACUUGAUUUGGAAAUGAGAUGCUGUUUUGUAUUUAAAUUAUCCCCGCUCCUCCCUUAUCCUCCAAAGCUUUGUCUCUGCUAUGAAUAUUCAGAUGAGGCAUGAUGUGAUUACACUGUACAAUUACUCCUAUCCAUGGUAGUGCCAGGGACUGCUGGGGAGACAGAGAGCCUGACAGCCUCCAGGCCAACACGGAGUUUGUUUUCGGUAUUUUUCCUAUCUCCUUGGCGCUGCGGCACAUGCAGAUGUCGCUGUUGUUCUUUAUAAAGCCUUAAUGAUAUGCAAAAGCAUAACAACUUGGUUUGGAUGCAAAGCAUCGACGAAAUAUUAUGGAUGUCUUUAAGAAAGGGGGAGAGAAAAUCUUGACUGAAGGAAUGUCCACAUAAAUUAUUUUUAUUUAAAUGAAUUCAAAGGAUGGGGUGAAGGCAAGUCAGAAGGAGUCACAUGGAAAACAUGCAUACUAUUAAUAUGCAUAAAGAGUUCUUACCGAGGAGAAGAAGCUCCUCACUACAGCUCAUGGGACAAACUGGUUCAUUAGGAAAUAGCUCAGAGCGACUACAGCAUUUUGCUAUUUCAAUUUUUUCCUUAUUUUAAAUGAAGAGUCAGACAGAUGUGUUUUCUUUGCAUGGCAGCAUCGAGAUGGAUCCAAUCUGUGAAAUUUGCUGCCCAAAUAUCAUUUCUAAUGGAAACUGGAACUAAACAAGGGCAUGGAUAUGGAAGGGAGGGGGAGAAGAGAGAAUAUACGAAGAGGAGUAUAUUCAGAGCCACAGCAUAAUAUUUUAUAGUACAGGAGAUUUUCAGAAAUGAUCUUUGCUUCAUUAGUCCCAGACGGGAGCUCCUGUUGCAGGGAGCUAUUAGGGUUUACCAAGAUGAGCACCGAGACAGGCCUUUCUAGGUCUGAGGCUGAGGAAAGCAGCGGCAGCUUGGUGCCUGUCCCCCGCCAGCUGUUUACAGCUUGGAUGCCAAAAGCACAGCUACUAAUCUGGGGAUGCAGUAGAGUGCCUCCUUGUCCAGGAAUGGACAAAAGAAAUAAUUUUUAGAAAUCCAAUAAAGCAAAAAUAAUCUGGAGUUGCCCUGGCUGACGCAGAGUGGAGAGUCAGACCCUUCCCACUCAGACUCCUGCCCUUCCUUCAAUAUUGGCAUCUAAGGAACCUCUACAAGGUUUGGGGAAGAAGUUGGAAGUUUCAGCAAAAAGCAAC